rnacentral:rRNA from 1 species
UACGUAGGGCGCAAGCGUUAUCCGGAAUUAUUGGGCGUAAAGAGCUCGUAGGCGGUUUGUCGCGUCUGCCGUGAAAGUCCGGGGCUCAACUCCGGAUCUGCGGUGGGUACGGGCAGACUAGAGUGAUGUAGGGGAGACUGGAAUUCCUGGUGUAGCGGUGAAAUGCGCAGAUAUCGGGAGGAACACCUAUGGCGAAAGCAGGCUUCUGGGCCAUCUCUGACGCUGAGCUGCGAAAGCUAGGGGAGCAAACAGG